AUGGGGGCGUGUGUGGGUGUCGCCGCACGUAUGAAGGCCAAGGCCCAAUUGGCGGUGGAGGCGGUGCGAUACAGAGAGGUGGUCGUGCUUGUCGCUACUGAAGCAGACGCCGCUGCUGCGGGGGUGUGGGCAUCGUACUGUAGAGGUGAGGUAGAGCUCAUUCGAGAGGAAAUCGACACGGUCUGCUUCUUCGCCAAUUCCAUUUAUGCAGCCCACUUCGGGCAAGGCGAACUUCCGCAUCACCUUCAUCAACUGAGUCUCAUUCUCCAUGGCGAAGAUCUGGGGUGGUGGAAGGAGAACUCGGCUGUGGAUUUGGAGGUUCCUGGUGGAAUUUGUGGAGGAUCUAUGAUCUGA
rnacentral:rRNA from 1 species